rnacentral:rRNA from 1 species
UAGUAUAUAAUUAUUUAUUGAAACUUAAAUAUUUUGGCGGUAUUUUAGUUUAUUUAGAGGAAUCUGUUUAUUAAUUGAUAAUCCACGAAUAAAUUUACUUAAUUUAUUAUUUUGUAUACCGUUGUUAUAAAAAUAUUUUUUAAUAAUUAUAAUAUUUUAAAAUUAUGAAAUAAAAUUAGAUCAAAUCAAGAUGUAGAUUAUAAUUAAGAAUAUAAUGGAUUACAAUAAAUUUAUUUAAAUGAAUUUUAAAUUGUAAUAUUUAAAUGAAGGUGGAUUUAAAUGUAAUUUUAUUUAUUUUAUUG